rnacentral:lncRNA from 1 species
CACACCCUGAAUAAUGACACGUCUGUGUUGUGGCCGGGAUGUGCCACCCAGCUGCCCCUAGGUAGGGAGGGACAAUGGUACCAUAGCCGCCUGUCCAUGCAAAUCAUGUGAUGAAAAAGAAAGUAUAAAUGGGCCAAUGACCGACAAAAACACAAUACCCAGUUUGGACUGACACUAUAGCACCUUCUAUAACCAACCACGGAGCCAAGAUGAGAGUCGGAGUGCCCAUAUUCCUCUUUUUGGCUGCAGCAGGAUUCCACACUGGUAUGAGAAUUGUGUGGUCUAUUUCUCAAUGUCAUAAUGUUUUAAACUUCUCCAAUAUAUUUCUGUUUAAAUAUCAGUCAGCUGUGGCAUUUGAUGAAGACCUGUACUGCUGAUACUAGUUGCAAUGCUGUUUCAUGAUGUAUUGUGCGAUGGUAAUGUAAAGAAGGCCCUCAGCCUUUUUUAUGUGAUUGGCAUUCAAUUGAAUCCUUAUGUUUAAUUGAUAACAUGCCAGAGGGAAAUGUGAGUUGGCUGGUUAUAAUAGUAAAGAACAAUAAGGCCCGCAUACUCUUUAUGCUCCCAUUUCAGCGCUUUCUUUGGGGGUGGUGGUGGUGGUGGGGGGGGGGCUGGAUAUCAUCACAUCUAUGUUGUGUUGUCUAACAUUAUAAUCAAAUUUGACAUUAAAUUGCUUCUGACAUCCCCAGCUCUGACCGCAUCCUUGGAAUCGGCAGAAAAAGAAGACACAUUUGGUGAGGAAGUGGGGCUGGAGCAGCUAAGCGACCUGCAAAAGAGAGAUCAGGAGGAGUUUGAAGCAGCUCAAAUGAGUGAGGAGGAGAAUGACACUCAGGAAGAGGACAUGACAGACAGAGACGGAAACGUUGAGGCAGACCAACAUGAGUCUGAGUCUGAUGAGGAUGUAGAUGGUAUGAGGCAAAAGCGUGAACAACUUGAAGCCAACGUUGAAGAAGCAGAUGAGACUACAAAUCUAGCUGAGGUAGAGUGAGCCUGCCGGAGGCAUCAUGUGAGGAGGCAGCACUUGCAGACCUACCCCCCAUCUUCUAUUACAGAACCCGAAGAACAUUGUGCAGCGAAACAGUUAACCGUUAAUAAAGAGACAUCUCUCUCCCCAUUCUAUUUCACUGCUGUGUGACUCCGUCCUUAUGCAAUAGGCCAUUGAGGUUUAUUUAGAAUGUAAUGGUUUGAAAAGUGAGUAUUUCAAAACGUCUUGAAUACAUAAAAUACAAAAAAAAUUAUAGCUUUCCAUUUUUAUUUAUUUUUUCCUCCAAAUGUAUUCUGUCUGCAUAACAAACCAGUAUUUUCUUUGGUGCCUUAAAAACAAAAAAAAAACUAUUAAGGCAACUAUAACUCUAAAUGAGUUUAGUAGUGCAGCAGCUCAGUACCGCAACUCUUGGUGGCAUCACAGC